rnacentral:rRNA from 1 species
CUCCUACGGGAGGCUGCAGUAGGGAAUAUUGCACAAUGGAGGAAACUCUGAUGCAGCGACGCCGCGUGAGCGAUGAAGGCCUUCGGGUUGUAAAGCUCUGUGAUAUGGGAAGAUAAUGACGGUACCAUAUCAGAAAGGACCGGCUAACUUCGUGCCAGCAGCCGCGGUAAUACGAGGGGUCCAAGCGUUGUUCGGAAUUACUGGGCGUAAAGCGGGUGUAGGCGGCCAUAACAGUCGGAUGUGAAAGCCCUGGGCUCAACCCAGGAAGUGCAUCCGAUACUAUAUGGCUUGAGUACUAGAGAGGGAAGUGGAAUUCCUGGUGUAGCGGUGAAAUGCGUAGAUAUCAGGAGGAACAUCGGUGGCGAAGGCGGCUUCCUGGCUAUGUACUGACGCUCAGACCCGAAAGCGUGGGGAGCAAACAGGAUUAGAUACCCUGGUAGUCCACGCCGUAAACAAUGGACACUUGGUGUUGGAGGUAUUGACCCCUUCAGUGCCGUAGCUAACGCGUUAAGUGUCCCGCCUGGGGAGUACGGUCGCAAGAUUAAAACUCAAAGAAAUUGACGGGGGCCCGCACAAGCGGUGGAGCAUGUGGUUUAAUUCGAUGCAACGCGAAAUACCUUACCUGGGUUUGAAUUGCAGUGGAAUACAUUAGAGAUAGUGUCGCUCUUCGGAGUCGCUGUGAAGGUGCUGCAUGGCUGUCGUCAGCUCGUGUCGUGAGAUGUUGGGUUAAGUCCCGCAACGAGCGCAACCCUUACCUUUAGUUGCCAGCAUUUAGUUGGGCACUCUAAAGGGACUGCCGACGUUAAGUCGGAGGAAGGUGGGGAUGACGUCAAGUCCUCAUGGCCCUUAUGUCCAGGGCUACACACGUGCUACAAUGGAGAAUACAAAGGGUUGCCAAGCCGCAAGGUGGAGCUAAUCCCAAAAAAUUCUUCUAAGUUCGGAUUGAGGUCUGCAACUCGACCUCAUGAAGCUGGAAUCGCUAGUAAUCGCGGAUCAGAAUGCCGCGGUGAAUACGUUCCCGGGCCUUGUACACACCGCCCGUC